GACGAACCGUGCUAACGUUAUUCGGAAUCACUGGGCUUAAAGGGCGCGUAGGCGGGUGACCAAGUCAGGGGUGAAAUCCUUCGGCUUAACCGGAGAACAGCUUCUGAUACUGGUCGUCUUGAGGGAGGUAGGGGCAUGCGGAACUUCCGGUGGAGCGGUGAAAUGCGUAGAUAUCGGAAGGCACACCGGUGGCGAAGGCGG
rnacentral:rRNA from 1 species